GAAGGAUCAUUAUUGAAUGAACUUGGUGUGGUUGUCGCUGGCCCUCUCGGGGGCAUGUGCACACUCACCAUCCUCAUCUCUCCACCUGUGCACCUCUUGUAGACUUGGAUUGACUUUCCGAGGCCACUCGGUCGGGAGGUCUGCUGGCACCUAGCUAGCUUUCCUUGCAUUUCCAGGUCUACGUUUUUCAUAUACCCCAAUUGUAUGUAACAGAAUGCAUCAUUAGGCCCUUGUGCCUAUAAACUUUAUACAACUUUCAGCAACGGAUCUCUUGGCUCUCGCAUCGAUGAAGAACGCAGCGAAAUGCGAUAAGUAAUGUGAAUUGCAGAAUUCAGUGAAUCAUCGAAUCUUUGAACGCAUCUUGCGCUCCUUGGUAUUCCUAGGAGCAUGCCUGUUUGAGUGUCAUAAAUAUCUCAACCGCACCCUAUGGUGGUGUGGCUUGGAUUUGGGGGUGGCAGGCUUAGUCUGCUCCCCUGAAAUACAUUGGCGGUGCCCGACGUGAUGUGAUAAAUUAUCCGCAUCUGUUUAUGAGCUGCCGUGUCGUGUUGGAGUUGAUAAACUUGACCUCAAAUCAGGUAGGACCACCCGCUGAACUUAAGCAUAUCAAUAAGCGGAGGAAAAGAAACUAACCAGGAUUCCCUUAGUAACUGCGAGUGAAGUGGGAAGAGCUCAAAUUUGUAAUCUGGUGGCCCUUGGCCAUCCGAG
rnacentral:rRNA from 1 species